rnacentral:rRNA from 1 species
GGGGGCCCGCACAAGCGGCGGAGCAUGCGGAUUAAUUCGAUGCAACGCGAAGAACCUUACCAAGGCUUGACAUGAACCGGAAAUACCUGGAAACAGGUGCCCCGCUUGCGGUCGGUUUACAGGUGGUGCAUGGUUGUCGUCAGCUCGUGUCGUGAGAUGUUGGGUUAAGUCCCGCAACGAGCGCAACCCUCGUUCUAUGUUGCCAGCGCGUUAUGGCGGGGACUCAUAGGAGACUGCCGGGGUCAACUCGGAGGAAGGUGGGGACGACGUCAAAUCAUCAUGCCCCUUAUGUCUUGGGCUUCACGCAUGCUACAAUGGCCGGUACAAAGGGUUGCGAUACUGUGAGGUGGAGCUAAUCCCAAAAAGCCGGUCUCAGUUCGGAUUGGGGUCUGCAACUCGACCCCAUGAAGUCGGAGUCGCUAGUAAUCGCAGAUCAGCAACGCUGCGGUGAAUACGUUCCCGGGCCUUGUACACACCGCCCGUCAAGUCACGAAAGUUGGUAACACCCGAAGCCGGUGGCCUAACCCCUUGUGGGAGGGAGCUGUCGAGGGUGGGACUGGCGAUUGGGACUAAGUCGUAACAAGGUAACCGUAAGGGC